rnacentral:tRNA from 1 species
UUCUGGCACUGGUGGGCGAGCCCACCGGCGGCAGCUUCAAGCUGUCGCUGGCCGGAGAACCGACCGGAAACAUCCCGUUCAACGCGACCCAGGGCC